GUGUUGUGCCAUGUUAAAGACCCUCUUGUCAUUUUUAUUAUUCAUGGAUGGACGCUAAUUCUACAAGUCAGUUUAAGUGCUAUGGAGUCCCAUUUGCACCUGGAAUGCUGGGAACAGGGGAUGGAGCAGCAAGAAGCAAUUGAAAGGAUUAGGAUGGAACCUUCCUCAAGCUUCACAGGCUUGUCUGCUGGCCACAGACACCAUUAUGUACACAGGAAAAUCAGAUCAUUAUCUAAGGCCAACAAGCUCCUCCUUGAGAUGUUCUGCCAUAUAAUCUGGAGGAAAUACUGUAAGACUUUGUCAGCACUGAGUCAUUUGCACUGGGAGUCUUACCAGAAAAAAAAAAUCUUGUCUUCUCAGAAGGUUGUUUACUGUUCUAUUCAAAGAUCAAUUUGUCAUGUCAACCCUUUCUCUAAUACAAUGGCAAGUGGCAAGAACAAACUGUACAGAAUCCUGUUUCCAAGUAUCUCUGCUGAGGUAGUUUAAAGACAUAAUGUGGGAGUUCCCGCUCAGUGGGAUGGGGAUCGCGGCAUUGCCACGGGCUGUGGUAUAGGUCGCAGACACGGCUUGUAUCCUGCAUUGUUGUGGCUGUGGUGUAGCCCAGCAGCUACAGCUCCGAUUCAAACCCUAGCCUGGAAACUUCCAUAUGCUGCAAGUAUGGCCCUAAAAAGCACAGACACACCGUGAGAGAGAGAGAUAAUGUAUAUAAAAUAUUUAGCACAAAUCCUAACAUAGUGAAUGCUUCAGGAGUAAAACUACCAGCUUUCCUAACUAUCUGAAUAUAAUCUACUUCUGAAAACAUGUGGGAAGGCAAACUGUGUGCAGCAAAAUCAAAUAUUUUAUUAUUUUAAAAGGGAAAAAUAAUAAUACAUUCUUAGUACAUGUAAAAAACAUAACAGUACGUGUUUAUUUAACAUUUAAUGAACACAUUAGUUAAUACGUUGGUGUGGAUUACAGACAGUAUCAAGUACAGAUUGCAUUUUCCUUCUACACUGCAAUAAAUAUGUGUUCUAAUGAAAAUAAGGUAAUGUG
rnacentral:lncRNA from 1 species